rnacentral:rRNA from 1 species
AUUCCUACGGGGCGCAGCAGUGAGGAAUAUUGGUCAAUGGGCGGGAGCCUGAACCAGCCAUGCCGCGUGAAGGCGAGUGCCCUACGGGCGUUAAACUUCUUUUGUGCGGGAGCAAUAAGGGCCACGUGUGGCCCGAUGAGAGUACCGCACGAAUAAGCAUCGGCUAACUCCGUGCCAGCAGCCGCGGUAAUACGGGGGAUGCGAGCGUUAUCCGGAUUUACUGGGUGUAAAGGGAGCGUAGACGGUUAUGCAAGUCUGAAGUGAAAGCCCAAGGCUCAACCAUGGGACUGCUUUGGAAACUGUAA